UGGGCGGGCCGGGACGCAGGCGGCUCGGGAGCGGCUAGCGGCAGACGUCCGAUCGUCUCUCCGCUCUCCGCCGCCUCUCCUUCUCUUUGAGAACUCCCUGUGCCUCCCGGCGGCCGCUAGCCCGGCCCUGAGCUCGGUCCGUUCUCCUGGGGCGCAGGAGUUCGGCGGGGCGUGCGUCGGGCCCGGGGCAGCCGCAGCGCAGAAGCGGCGCGGGUGGUGCGGCUGCCCGGUCUGCCCCGCUCAGCGUACACUCCUUCCGAGAGGGAGAAUUUCGGGAAGGCAAUGGUGGAACAAGCAAGGAGACGGGGCGGAGCCACGGGAUCAUUCGCAGCUGCCCAGGGACUUUUAGGGCCCGAGAGGGCCGGGUGCGAUGGGCUGCGGGCGGCGCCACGGGAGAGAGACGGCACGAAGCGAGAGGCAGCGCCAGUGUGGGGGAAGGAAGAAGUGGGAGAUGCGGGUCGGGAAGGAACAGAAGGAUAGAGCUUGGGAAUCUGACACUCUCCAAAAGACUCCCAAAACAGUUAUUGGAUAUAAACAGCACAGGCAGCCCAGCAAUUUUAUGCUGAGGCCCCCUCACCAACCUGCCAACAGACCCGGUUCACUUCUCUUGUGAGCUCCAGGAAGAAUUAUAGGAGUCUGUGAUGAAGCCUUGACCUUCUCCAUGUGAAGGUGCCAUCCAGGUAGCCUUUAGGAAGGCUGAGGGGUUGCGGUGGGUCGGGGAUAUCAGGAGGAGCGGUGAGGGCAUGCUCAAGUUUCAGCGAUGCUACAUCACUUCCUGUCUGUUUAACCUAGGUGUACUUGGUGAUGAUGGCAUCUACCUCCAAGCAGAUGUCUCUGCAGAAUCUCUGCUGAGAUUUGCAGAAGCUGUGCUGCAUUAGCUGGCUUGGUAAUUCUUGAUGCAGCUGGAACACAUCACCUUCCAAGUGCAGCUGAAGUGUGCAGCCUCAGGACCUGGGUGUUCUUAGGAGACGGUGAGUAUGAACAUUGUCAGGUUUUGGUCGAUGUGCUGCUAAGCUCAUGCAUUUAUGUUUGGUUUUCUUUAGCUAAAAAGCUAGUCUGAGACAACUAGCUGCGUCUGAGACAACAGCCCUGUGAGGCAGCUUUCUUUGGCACCUGAUUGGCCCUUUGCAGGGCUUCACAUCCUCAGACAUUUGAAAGAUAAGUUGAGGGCUACAACCACAGAGGGAAUCAAAGCAGGGUGGUGGGUUGGGACUCACAAUGGUUACGGUUUUUCAGUCAGCUUUGGAGAUGGGAAAGUUCAAGAAGUGGCCCCUUAGGCCAUAUCAAGGGAAAGCCUUGCUUUAGCUCACAAUGCUGAGGUGUGCAAGGCAGAGCAGUCCCAGGGUGUGUUGUAUCACUUGCCUAUUGUGCCUUCUGCGUCUUUUGACUUAGCCCUUCUAGAGGUUUACUGGAAACCCUGGUGUCAUUCUCAGCAUCUCCCCGUUCCUUGGCCCGUCACCAACACCAUCAAACCUUUGAUUCGGGAGCUCAGACAUGCAUCAGAUUAACAUCUCUCUUUAGAAGUGUGAGUUGGGUGUCUUUUUAGGUCUUGUUCUCAGCUCUGUACCCCAAUGUUUCAUUACAGUGGAUAAGCACUUCAACCAAUUUGAAGA
rnacentral:lncRNA from 1 species